UGGAGAGUUUGAUCCUGGCUCAGGACGAACGCUGGCGGCGUGCCUAAUACAUGCAAGUCGAGCGGAGUUACUUUGAAAGCUUGCUUUCAAAGUAACUUAGCGGCGGACGGGUGAGUAACACGUAGGCAACCUGCCCCUUAGACUGGGAUAACUACCGGAAACGGUAGCUAAUACCGGAUAAUUUCUUUUUUCUCCUGAAGRAAGAAUGAAAGACGGAGCAAUCUGUCACUGAGGGAUGGGCCUGCGGCGCAUUAGCUAGUUGGUGGGGUAAYGGCCCACCAAGGCGACGAUGCGUAGCCGACCUGAGAGGGUGAACGGCCACACUGGGACUGAGACACGGCCCAGACUCCUACGGGAGGCAGCAGUAGGGAAUCUUCCGCAAUGGACGAAAGUCUGACGGAGCAACGCCGCGUGAGUGAUGAAGGUUUUCGGAUCGUAAAGCUCUGUUGCCAGGGAAGAACGUCCGGUAGAGUAACUGCUACCGGAGUGACGGUACCUGAGAAGAAAGCCCCGGCUAACUACGUGCCAGCAGCCGCGGUA
rnacentral:rRNA from 1 species